rnacentral:rRNA from 1 species
AUUGAACGCUGGCGGCAGGCUUAACACAUGCAAGUCGAGCGGGGUGAAGUGCUUCGGUACUGAUCCUAGCGGCGGACGGGUGAGUAAUGCUUAGGAAUCUGCCAUUUAGUGGGGGACAACAUUCCGAAAGGAAUGCUAAUACCGCAUACGUCCUACGGGAGAAAGCAGGGGAUCUUCGGACCUUGCGCUAAAUGAUGAGCCUAAGUCGGAUCAGCUAGUUGGUGGGGUAAAGGCCUACCAAGGCGACGAUCUGUAGCGGGUCUGAGAGGAUGAUCCGCCACACUGGGACUGAGACACGGCCCAGACUCCUACGGGAGGCAGCAGUGGGGAAUAUUGGACAAUGGGCGGAAGCCUGAUCCAGCCAUGCCGCGUGUGCGAAGAAGGCCUUUUGGUUGUAAAGCACUUUAAGCGAGGAGGAGGCUACCUGGAUUAAUACUCUGGGAUAGUGGACGUUACUCGCAGAAUAAGCACCGGCUAACUCUGUGCCAGCAGCCGCGGUAA